rnacentral:rRNA from 1 species
GGGGGAUAUUGCACAAUGGGGGAAACCCUGAUGCAGCAACGCCGCGUGGAGGAAGAAGGUUUUCGGAUUGUAAACUCCUGUCGUUAGGGACGAUAAUGACGGUACCUAACAAGAAAGCACCGGCUAACUACGUGCCAGCAGUCGCGGUAAAACGUAGGGUGCAAGCGUUGUCCGGAAUUACUGGGUGUAAAGGGAGCGCAGGCGGACCGGCAAGUUGGAAGUGAAAACUAUGGGUUCAACCCAUAAAUUGCUUUCAAAACUGCUGGCCUUGAGUAGUGCAGAGGUAGGUGGAAUUCCCGGUGUAGCGGUGGAAUGCGUAGAUAUCGGGAGGAACACCAGUGGCGAAGGCGACCUACUGGGCACCAACUGACGCUGAGGCUCGAAAGCAUGGGUAGCAAAC